rfam:Camelus ferus unplaced genomic scaffold scaffold1779, whole genome shotgun sequence.
GUGGGUAUAAUUUAGUGGUAGAGCCUAUGCUUAGCGUGCGUGAGGUCCUGGGUUCAAUUCCCAGCACCUCCA